rnacentral:rRNA from 1 species
ACGAACGCUGGCGGCGUGCCUAACACAUGCAAGUCGAACGGGCCUUGUGCGUAGCACAAGGAAAUCCAAAGCACAAAGCACUAAAUCCAAAACAAAUUCAAAUGACAAAAAUCCAAAAAGUCCAAAAGCUAAGGGAAUUGGGAUUUUGAAUUUAGAUGUUAUUUGGAAUUUUGGAUUUAGGAUUUCGGAUUUUCUCGUGCUAUGCACGAGGUCAGUGGCGAACGGGUGAGUAACACGUAGGAAACCUACCCUUAAGAGGGGGAUAAUGUCGAGAAAUUGGCACUAAUACCCCAUAAGACUACGAAAUGAGAAGUUCGUGGUAAAAGUCUUGAGAAAUCGGGAUGCUGAAGGAUGGGCCUGCGGCCUAUCAGGUAGUUGGUGGGGUAAAGGCCUACCAAGCCUAAGACGGGUAGCCG